rfam:Tupaia chinensis contig17898, whole genome shotgun sequence.
GUGCUUACUUCAGCAGCAUAUAUACUAAAAUUGGAACAAUACAGAGAAGAGUAGCAUGGACCCUGUGCAAGGACGACAUGUAAAUUCAUGAAGCAUUCCAUUUUUUU